CGGAGGGUGCAAGCGUUAUCCGGAUUUACUGGGUUUAAGGGGUGUGUAGGCGGGCUAUUAAGUCAGUGGUGAAAUCUCCGAGCUUAACUUGGAAACUGCCAUUGAUACUAUUAGUCUUGAAUAUUGUUGAGGUAGGCGGAAUAAGUCAUGUAGCGGUGAAAUGCAUAGAUAUGACUUAGAACACCAAUUGCGAAGGCAGCUUGCUAAACAAUUAUUGACGCUGAGGCACGAAAGCGUGGGGAUCAAACAGGAUUAGAUACCCUGGUAGUCCACGCCCUAAACGAUGAUUACUCGACAUACGCGAUACACAGUGUGUGUCUGAGCGAAAGCAUUAAGUAAUCCACCUGGGAAGUACGACCGCAAGGUUG
rnacentral:rRNA from 1 species